AACGAACGCUGGCGGCAGGCUUAACACAUGCAAGUCGAACGGAUGUAGCAAUACAUUAGUGGCGCACGGGUGAGUAACGCGUGGGAACGUGCCCUUAGGUACGGAAUAACUUCGGGACACUGAAGCUAAUACUGUAUAAUGUCUUUGGACCAAAGAUUUAUCGCCUAAGGAUCGGCCCGCGUUGGAUUAGGUAGUUGGUGAGGUAAUGGCUCACCAAGCCUACGAUCCAUAGCUGGUCUGAGAGGAUGAUCAGCCACACUGGGACCGAGACACGGCCCAGACUCCUACGGGAGGCAGCAGUGAGGAAUAUUGGACAAUGGAGGAAACUCUGAUCCAGCCAUGCCGCGUGAGUGAAGAAGGCCUUCGGGUUGUAAAGCUCUUUUACCCCUGACGAUAAUGACGGUAAGGGGAGAAAAAGCCACGGCUAACUACGUGCCAGCAGCCGCCGUAA
rnacentral:rRNA from 1 species